GCAGUCGACGAUGAAGGGAAGCUUGCUUUCUGGAUUAGUGGCGAACGGGUGAGUAACACGUGAGUAACCUGCCCUUGACUCUGGGAUAAGCACUGGAAACGGUGUCUAAUACCGGAUACGAACUUCCACCGCAUGGUGAGGGGUUGGAAAGAAUUUUGGUCAAGGAUGGACUCGCGGCCUAUCAGCUAGUUGGUGAGGUAAUGGCUCACCAAGGCGACGACGGGUAGCCGGCCUGAGAGGGUGACCGGCCACACUGGGACUGAGACACGGCCCAGACUCCUACGGGAGGCAGCAGUGGGGAAUAUUGCACAAUGGGCGCAAGCCUGAUGCAGCAACGCCGCGUGAGGGACGAAGGCCUUCGGGUUGUAAACCUCUUUUAGUAGGGAAGAAGCGUAAAAGUGACGGUACCUGCAGAAAAAGCACCGGCUAACUACGUGCCAGCAGCCGCGGUAAUACGUAGGGUGCAAGCGUUAUCCGGAAUUAUUGGGCGUAAAGAGCUCGUAGGCGGUUUGUCGCGUCUGCUGUGAAAUCUGGGGGCUCAACCCCCAGCCUGCAGUGGGUACGGGCAGACUAGAGUGCGGUAGGGGAGAUUGGAAUUCCUGGUGUAGCGGUGGAAUGCGCAGAUAUCAGGAGGAACACCAAUGGCGAAGGCAGAUCUCUGGGCCGUAACUGACGCUGAGGAGCGAAAGCAUGGGGAGCG
rnacentral:rRNA from 1 species